rnacentral:lncRNA from 1 species
UGGAUAAGUGGAGUGUUAGUGUGAAGGAGGUCCUAUGUUUGAAUCUUGGCAUGGGCAUUAUUUUUGCUCGUGCGUCCAGGAGAGUUUGAGAUGGACUAAAAAUCUGAGUACUGGAUUUAGUGGGGAGUUUGAUGGAGAGAAAUAAAGGAUUGGGGUGGUUAUGAAAUAUUCAAAUAAUCUUUUUUUUUUAAAUUUUUUUACUUUCCCCAAAAUCCCUCCACCCUCUUGCUUUUUUUUCUCUUCAUUGCUGCCGAAUUUCUGCUCUCUUUCACCCUUCAUCUUCUUGAUUUUUCUUUUCCCACUCUACCUCCUGUUGCUCCAUGUUUGUCUACGAUCGUUCGGUAAGUUUUAGAUAAGUGAUUUGUCUCUGUUUUUUAACUUUCUUCUGAAGUGUUUUGUUUAUGCCAAUUAGGGGAGGACUCAAGGGCUCGUAAUCACCAAUCAGAGUCUUAGUUUGUGUGGGAAUUAUUGUUCAUCGGUUGAAGGUAAGGUUUAGUCGCU